AGGGAAUAGAUACCCGGGUAGUCCUGGCAGUAAACGGUGCACGUUUGGUGUGGGCGCAAUCGACCGCGUCCGCGCCGGAGCUAAACGCGUUAAACGUGCCGCCUGGGAAGUACGGUCGCAAGAUUAAAAACUCAAAGAAAAUUGACGGGGACCCGCACAAGCGGUGGAGUAUGUGGCUUAAUUCGAUGCAACGCGAAGAACCUUACCUGGUCUUGACAUGCAUUGUGUCUCCGGUGAAAGCCGGAUAGGGUAGCAAUACCCGCUUUGCACAGGUGCUGCAUGGCUGUCGUCAGCUCGUGUCGUGAGAUGUUGGGUUAAAGUCCCGCAACGAGCGCAACCCCUGUGAUUUGUUGCCACCGGCUUAUGCCGAGCACUCGAAUCAGACUGCCUCGAUC
rnacentral:rRNA from 1 species